rnacentral:rRNA from 1 species
CGGCGGACGGGUGAGUAACGCGUGGGUAACCGUGCCUCAUACAGGGGGAUAACAGUUGGAAACGGCUGCUAAUACCGCAUAAGCGCACAGUACCGCAUGGUACGGUGUGAAAAAACUCCGGUGGUAUGAGAUGGACCCGCGUCUGAUUAGGUAGUUGGUGGGGUAACGGCCUACCAAGCCGACGAUCAGUAGCCGACCUGAGAGGGUGACCGGCCACAUUGGGACUGAGACACGGCCCAA